rnacentral:rRNA from 3 species
AAAACGACUCUCGGCAACGGAUAUCUCGGCUCUCGCAUCGAUGAAGAACGUAGCGAAAUGCGAUACUUGGUGUGAAUUGCAGAAUCCCGUGAACCAUCGAGUCUUUGAACGCAAGUUGCGCCCCAAGCCUUCAGGCCGAGGGCACGUCUGCCUGG